UGGGGAAUAUUGCACAAUGGGCGGAAGCCUGAUGCAGCGACGCCGCGUGGGGGAUGAAGGCCUUCGGGUUGUAAACUCCUUUCGACAGGGACGAAGCGUAAGUGACGGUACCUGUAUAAGAAGCACCGGCUAACUACGUGCCAGCAGCCGCGGUAAUACGUAGGGUGCGAGCGUUGUCCGGAAUUACUGGGCGUAAAGAGCUCGUAGGUGGUUUGUCGCGUCGUCUGUGAAAUUCCGGGGCUUAACUCCGGGCGUGCAGGCGAUACGGGCUGACUUGUGUGCUGUAGGGGAGACUGGAAUUCCUGGUGUAGCGGUGAAAUGCGCAGAUAUCAGGAGGAAUACCGAUGGCGAAGGCAGGUCUCUGGGCAGUAACUGACGCUGAGGAGCGAAAGCAUGGGUAGCGAACAGGAUUAGAUACCCUGGUAGUCCAUGCCGUAAACGGUGGGCGCUAGGUGUAGGGGGCUUCCACGUCUUCUGUGCCGUAGCUAACGCAUUAAGCGCCCCGCCUGGGGAGUACGGCCGCAAGGCUA
rnacentral:rRNA from 1 species